rnacentral:sRNA from 1 species
UAAGAUUUACUCUUGUUUGGUCGAAUCGA